GGUUCUAGAAAAGCGGCGGCAGCGGCUCUAGCGGCAGUAGCAGCAGCGCCGGCUUGCCGUGUAGAGGUAUCUCUAGCGUUGUUGUUUCUCCAGCGGCGGCAGUUCUCACUACAGCGCCAGGACGAGUCCGGCUCGCGUUCGACCGCGGAGAGCUGUCUCAUCUCGCUCGGCUGCGGGAAAUCGGGCUGAAGCGACUGAGUCCGCGAUGGAGAAAACUUUAGAAACUGUUCCUUUGGAGAGGAAAAAGAGAGAAAAGGAACAGUUCCGUAAACUCUUUAUUGGUGGCUUGAGCUUUGAAACCACAGAAGAAAGUUUGAGGAAUUACUACGAGCAAUGGGGGAAACUUACAGACUGUGUGGUAAUGAGAGAUCCUGCAAGCAAAAGAUCAAGAGGAUUUGGUUUUGUAACUUUUUCAUCCAUGGCUGAGGUCGAUGCUGCCAUGGCUGCAAGACCUCAUUCAAUUGAUGGGAGAGUGGUUGAGCCAAAACGGGCUGUUGCAAGAGAGGAAUCUGGAAAGCCAGGGGCUCAUGUAACUGUGAAGAAGCUGUUUGUUGGUGGUAUUAAAGAAGAUACUGAGGAGCAUCAUCUUAGAGAUUACUUUGAGGAGUAUGGAAAAAUUGAUACCAUUGAAAUAAUUACUGAUAGGCAGUCUGGAAAGAAAAGAGGCUUUGGAUUUGUUACUUUUGAUGACCAUGAUCCUGUGGAUAAGAUUGUGUUGCAGAAAUACCAUACUAUCAAUGGUCAUAAUGCAGAAGUAAGAAAGGCUUUGUCUAGACAAGAAAUGCAGGAAGUUCAAAGUUCUAGAAGUGGAAGAGGAGGCAACUUUGGUUUUGGAGACUCGCGUGGUGGUGGUGGAAAUUUUGGACCAGGACCAGGAAGUAACUUUAGAGGAGGAUCUGAUGGCUAUGGAAGUGGUCGUGGAUUUGGGGAUGGCUAUAAUGGGUAUGGAGGAGGACCUGGAGGUGGCAAUUUUGGAGGUAGCCCUGGUUAUGGAGGAGGAAGAGGAGGAUAUGGUGGUGGAGGACCUGGAUAUGGCAACCAGGGUGGGGGCUACGGAGGUGGUUAUGACAACUAUGGAGGAGGAAAUUACGGAAGUGGAAAUUACAAUGAUUUUGGAAAUUAUAACCAGCAACCAUCUAACUAUGGUCCAAUGAAGAGUGGAAAUUUUGGUGGUAGCAGGAACAUGGGGGGACCAUAUGGUGGAGGAAACUAUGGUCCUGGAGGAAGUGGAGGAAGUGGGGGUUAUGGAGGGAGAAGCCGAUAUUGAGCUUCUUCCUAUUUGCCAUGGCAUUGAUAUGAACCAUGGACAAGUAUAUUCUGCUGCCACAAAGACUGUAAAGUGCUUCAUUUCAACAGCUGAGGCAAGCCAAGUGGUUAAUAAAGCUUUUCUUGGUUCCUUCAGUGGUGUUGGUAGUAAAAUGGAAGGUGUCUUGCUGCAGGUAACUAAUGAAGAAGUGGUCAACCACAGAAUCUUCAAGAAAUAAGAAAUUCUGUAUCAUCUGAAAGUAGUUCUUGUUGGUGCCUUCAUUUUAAAAAGCACUCUUUAAGAUUAAAGGGAAAUGUUUUCUGAUAAAAUACAAACCUCAUUUAGUAUAGGUUCUUAAUAUAAAAGAAUUAUAAGUUGAGUAUUGUUUGUAGAAGUAACAUCAAAUUAACAAGAGAGAGAAAUGUACCAUGUCUUAAGUUAGGUUUUGUGAGUAGACAGAUUAAAGUUCUAUUUUUAAAUAUAAAGUUUAUAAAAUAAAUACUUUUGUACCCAACUACUUGGUGUAAUGUUUACACAUAAAAUGUGUGAAUCUUGUUCUAUAAACAUUCACUUGUCUCAGUUGCCAUCCCCUAGAUUUUUAAAGCAGUUUGAC